UACGGGGGGGCAAGCGUUGUUCGGAAUUACUGGGCGUAAAGGGCUCGUAGGCGGCCAACUAAGUCAUACGUGAAAUCCCCCGGCUUAACCGGGGAACUGCGUCUGAUACUGGAUGGCUUGAGUUCGGGAGAGGGAUGCGGAAUUCCAGGUGUAGCGGUGAAAUGCGUAGAUAUCUGGAGGAACACCGGUGGCGAAGGCGGCAUCCUGGACCGAUACUGACGCUGAGGAGCGAAAAGCCAGGGGAGCAAAGCGGG
rnacentral:rRNA from 1 species